UGCAGUUUGCCAAAGACAGGAGGCCUGCAUUAUCAAUUAGUACCAGUGUUCAUGUACAGAAGCAAACAGGAAAGCAACAGAGACAUCACAGUAUAUGGUAUGCGUAUUAAGCACUAGGCUAUCAUGCCCACAACACUACACUACUACUACACUAGUAGUUUUGGAAAACUACGCCUUUGUUUUUUUGCUGAGGUAAACGAGAAGAAGGACACCAUAGCUGUUUCACCAUUUCUAGUCUUUGUCCUAAGCUAAGCUAACUGGCUGCCGGAUGGAGCUAAGUAUUUCGCACACAGAUUUCUCAUCUGACUCUUGGCAAGAAAGCAAGUGAAGAGGACAGGAACCAGAAACCAUUAGAUGGAGUUGGAGACAUAUCAGCGUCCAGAGGGAAGACAGUUGCACUUGUAACUCCUACCCACCACGACUGUUUGAAGACUGUUGAGGGACGCCCCAUAGAAACCUCCCAGUAGUGUUGUCCAGAAGAGAAGCCAGGUGUUCCUUUGAUAGCUGUGAGACAGGUAACCUUUUGUCCAUCAGGAAAAUCAGCUCCUCCCAGGUUGAGGAGGGUUUUCCAGGCGCACUCCUGCCUCCUUCAUCUCUUCACCAGAGAGGCCCACUGAGCAGUAAACCUCAGAGGAGCUGGCGACAAGAAGCCAGCUGUGGACUGACACAAGACCAGAAGACUCUUUUCUGUAAUUCAGGUUUUUUGUGUCCAGAACCUGCUUUUGAUCCGACCAGCUCAGGAUAGGCUCUGGAUACCAGCCUCCAGACUCACAGCUCACAUUCAUCACGUUAUCUUCUUUCCACACAGCUGACAGAAGUGGAGGGGCUCCCCUUUCUAGAAGGAAGAUGAAAAACUUUUGAUGUAAAGGUGAACAGACACUAUCCUUUAUUUUUGUGCGUUUUCUCCACUUUCAUGAUACUCACCAGUCACGAUGAGACUGACGCUUUCACUAUCAUAACCCUGAUCACUGCUGACAUAACAAACGUAAUCUCCUGCAUCCUCAAGUGUAGCAUUUACCAGCUGCAGGCUCACAUCACCUUCCUUCCGUCCGCCAGAGGCUGCAUCCUUUAAGCCAAAGGAGACUCUGCCCUUGUACGAAGCUUCCUGAGAUGUAUCGUCAAACUUUUUUGCCCGAUAAAGCAUGGCCGGGAAAUCAAAGUUGUUGUGACGGUACCAACGAACCUCGAAACCCUCUGCACUUUGCGGUGGAUUGAGCCAGCAUGGUAAUGUGGUUUUGUGGCCGUGGUGUACCGUGACAGGGGACUGGACCAAAACCACAAGGCUACCUGAAACUGUCAAAUAGGCAACAUACAUGUUGUUGAAGUUUAUGUUUUUGUAAUAUAUUCUGUAGUAGUAGUAGUAUAAGUACUGAGUGAAGAUGGGUUUUUACGUGGGCUGCAAGAUUUGGAGAAAAAGUCGUAUUGCGAUUAUUGUGGACGAUAUUGCGAUUUGCAAUAUAAUGGAACAAAUGUUACUAUGAGUCUACUUGCUUGAUUAAUAAUUUACAGCUUUUUCUCA